AGAGUUUGAUCCUGGCUCAGGACGAACGCUGGCGGCGUGCUUAACACAUGCAAGUCGAACGCUGAAGCCCCAGCUUGCUGGGGUGGAUGAGUGGCGAACGGGUGAGUAAUACGUGAGUGACCUGCCCUUGACUCUGGGAUAAGCCUGGGAAACUGGGUCUAAUACUGGAUACGACAGUACAUCGCAUGGUGUGUUGUGGAAAGGGUUUGUACUGGUUUUGGAUGGGCUCACGGCCUAUCAGCUUGUUGGUGGGGUAAUGGCUCACCAAGGCGACGACGGGUAGCCGGCCUGAGAGGGUGACCGGCCACACUGGGACUGAGACACGGCCCAGACUCCUACGGGAGGCAGCAGUGGGGAAUAUUGCACAAUGGGCGCAAGCCUGAUGCAGCGACGCCGCGUGAGGGAUGACGGCCUUCGGGUUGUAAACCUCUUUCAGCAGGGAAGAAGCGAAAGUGACGGUACCUGCAGAAGAAGCGCCGGCUAACUACGUGCCAGCAGCCGCGGUAAUACGUAGGGCGCAAGCGUUGUCCGGAAUUAUUGGGCGUAAAGAGCUCGUAGGCGGUUUGUCGCGUCUGCUGUGAAAGCCCGGGGCUUAACCCCGGGUCUGCAGUGGGUACGGGCAGACUAGAGUGCAGUAGGGGAGACUGGAAUUCCUGGUGUAGCGGUGAAAUGCGCAGAUAUCAGGAGGAACACCGAUGGCGAAGGCAGGUCUCUGGGCUGUUACUGACGCUGAGGAGCGAAAGCAUGGGGAGCGAACAGGAUUAGAUACCCUGGUAGUCCAUGCCGUAAACGUUGGGCACUAGGUGUGGGGGACAUUCCACGUUUUCCGCGCCGUAGCUAACGCAUUAAGUGCCCCGCCUGGGGAGUACGGCCGCAAGGCUAAAACUCAAAGGAAUUGACGGGGGCCCGCACAAGCGGCGGAGCAUGCGGAUUAAUUCGAUGCAACGCGAAGAACCUUACCAAGGCUUGACAUGCACCAGACCGUCCCAGAGAUGGGAUUUCCACUUUGUGGUUGGUG
rnacentral:rRNA from 1 species